GGUGAACGCUGGCGGCGUGCCUAAGACAUGCAAGUCGAGCGGGCCGCGGGGUUUUACUCCGUGGUCAGCGGCGGAAGGGUGAGUAACGCGUGGGUGACCUACCCGGAAGAGGGGGACAACCCGGGGAAACCCGGGCUAAUCCCCCAUGUGGACCCGCCCCUUGGGGUGUGUCCAAAAGGCUUUGCCCCUUUCCGUAUGGGCUCGCGUCCCAUCAGCUAGUUGGUGGGGUAAUGGCCCACCAAGGCGUCGACGGGUAGCCGGCCGGAGCGCGUGGCCGGCCACAGGCGCCCUCGAACACGAGGCCAACUCCUACGGGGGGCAGCAGUCAGGGGUCUUCCGCAAUGGGCGAAACCCUCACGGUGCGACGCCGCUUGGAGGAAGAAGCUCUCCGGGGUGUACACUCAUGAACCCGGGACGAAACCCCCGACGAGGGGACUGACGGUACCGGGGUAUUAGCGCCGGCCAACUACGUG
rnacentral:rRNA from 1 species